rnacentral:rRNA from 1 species
GCUUGUUGGCGAGGUAACGGCUCACCAAGGCAACGACGGGUAGCUGGUCUGAGAGGAUGGCCAGCCACAUUGGGACUGAGAUACGGCCCAGACUCCUACGGGAGGCAGCAGUGGGGAAUCUUGCGCAAUGGCCUAACGGCUGACGCAGCGACGCCGCGUGUGGGAUGAAGCUCCUCGGAGUGUAAACCACUGUUGCCCGGGACGAAUAGCUCGAUUAAUCGAGCCUGACGGUACCGGGUGAGGAAGCACCGGCUAACUCCGUGCCAGCAGCCGCGGUAAUACGGGGGGUGCGAGCGUUGUCCGGAAUCACUGGGCGUAAAGGGCGCGUAGGUGGUUUGAUAAGGGUGUGGUGAAAGUCCGGGGCUCAACCCCGGAUCUGCCGUGCCGACUGUCAAACUCGAGGACUGUAGAGGCAGACGGAAUUCCGGGUGUAGCGGUGGAAUGCGUAGAGAUCCGGAGGAAGACCGGUGGCGAAGGCGGUCUGCUGGGCAGUUUCUGACACUGAGGCGCGACAGCGUGGGGAGCAAACAGGAUUAGAUACCCUGGUAGUCCACGCCGUAAACGAUGGGUACUAGGUGCCUGGGGGAGCGACCCUCUGGGUGCCGGCGCUAACGCAGGAAGUACCCCGCCUGGGGAGUACGG